GCCAGCAUGGUAUAAUGGCUCCACCAUUGGACUACUACUCUGGAGACCAGGGUUCAAUUCCCUGCUCAGGCA